CAUGCAAGUCUACGAGAAAGGGGUAGCAAUAUCCUGAGUACAGUGGCGCACGGGUGAGUAACGCGUAGGUAAUUUGCCUUAGGGACGGGGAUAAUUCACCGAAAGGUGGACUAAUACCCGAUGACGCGUCGGGGUCGCAUGGCUCUGACGUCAAAGGUCCGAAAGGGCGCCCUUGGAUAAGCCUGCGUCCCAUUAGGUAGUUGGCGGGGUAACGGCCCACCAAGCCGACGAUGGGUAGCUGGUCUGAGAGGAUGAUCAGCCACACUGGAACUGAGACACGGUCCAGACUCCUACGGGAGGCAGCAGUGAGGAAUAUUGCGCAAUGGGCGAAAGCCUGACGCAGCGACGCCGCGUGGAGGAUGAAGGUCUUCGGAUUGUAAACUCCUGUCAGAGGAGACGAAAGCCCGAGCAAUCGGGUUGGACGG
rnacentral:rRNA from 1 species